rnacentral:rRNA from 1 species
UACGGAGGGUGCAAGCAUUGAUCGGAAUUACUGGGCGUAAAGGGUGCGUAGGCGGCAAUAUAAGUCGGAUGUGAAAUUCCACGGCUCAACUGUGGAGCUGCAUUCGAAACUGUAUAGCUGGAGCGUAGUUAGGGAAAACGGAAUUCCACGUGUAGCGGUGAAAUGCGUAGAUAUGUGGAAGAACACCAGUGGUGAAGACGGUUUUCUGGGCUAUAGCUGACGCUGAGGCACGAAAGCUAGGGGAGCAAACAGG